rnacentral:rRNA from 1 species
CCUACGGGAGGCAGCAGUGAGGAAUAUUGGUCAAUGGACGCGAGUCUGAACCAGCCAAGUAGCGUGAAGGAUGACUGCCCUACGGGUUGUAAACUUCUUUUAUAAAGGAAUAAAGUGAGGCACGUGUGCCUUUUUGCAUGUACUUUAUGAAUAAGGAUCGGCUAACUCCGUGCCAGCAGCCGCGGUAAUACGGAGGAUCCGAGCGUUAUCCGGAUUUAUUGGGUUUAAAGGGAGCGUAGAUGGGUUGUUAAGUCAGUUGUGAAAGUUUGCGGCUCAACCGUAAAAUUGCAAUUGAUACUGGCAGCCUUGAGUACAGUUGAGGUAGGCGGAAUUCGUGGUGUAGCGGUGAAAUGCUUAGAUAUCACGAAGAACUCCGAUUGCGAAGGCAGCUUACUAAACUGCGACUGACAUUGAUGCUCGAAAGUGUGGGUAUCAAACAGGAUUAGAUACCCUUGUAGUC